AGCAGCCGCGGUAAUUCCAGCUCCAAUAGCGUAUAUUAAAGUUGUUGCAGUUAAAAAGCUCGUAGUUGAAUUUCGGGAUCAAUAUAUCGGUCAUGCUUAGGUAUGUACUGGUAUUAUUGAUUUCUCCCUUCUGAAGAACCAUGAUGUCAUUAAUUUGAUGUCGUGGGGAAUCAGGACUGUUACUUUGAAAAAUUAGAGUGUUUAAAGCAGGCAUACGCUUGAAUACAUUAGCAUGGAAUAAUGAAAUAGGACGUUUGAUUCUAUUUUGUUGGUUUCUAGGAUCGACGUAAUGAUUAAUAGGGAUAGUUGGGGGCAUUAGUAUUCAAUUGUCAGAGGUGAAAUUCUUGGAUUUAUUGAAGACUAACUACUGCGAAAGCAUUUGCCAAGGAUGUUUUCAUUAAUCAAGAACGAAAGUUAGGGGAUCGAAGACGAUCAGAUACCGUCGUAGUCUUAACCAUAAACUAUGCCGACUAGGGAUCGGAUGAUGUUAAUUUUUUAAUGACUCU
rnacentral:rRNA from 1 species